rnacentral:rRNA from 1 species
AUCGAACGCUGGCGGCAUGCCUAACACAUGCAAGUCGAACGAGUGGCGGACGGGUGAGCCAUGUCUGAGCAACUGCCUCAUCGAGGCGGAUCACCACGGGAAACGGUAGCUACUACCGCAUUCCAUCAGAUGUGCCCAGAUGGGGUUAGCUUGUUGGUGGGGUAACGGCUCACCUAGGCGACGAUGCCUAGCUGGUCGUAGAGGAUGACCAGCCACACUGGAACUGAGACAGUGCACAGACUCCUACGGGAGGCAGCAGUAGGGAAUAGUGAACAAUGGGCGCAAGCCUGAUGCAGCCAUGCCGCGUGUGUGAAGAAGGCCUUCGGGUUGUAAAGGACUUUCGGCGGGGAGGCUUUAUCCGGAGAGGAAGCACCGGCUGACUCCGUGCCAGCAGCCGCGGUAAUAC